UGGAGGCAAAUUGAAUCAGCUCUGCAAUGGAAGCCUCAGGGCAGAAAGACAGAUUGAGACGGUCAUGUCAGCACCGAGAGAUUACUGCCUCCUGUGUGUGCAUGUGCGUGCGUGCAUGUGUGCGUGUGUGAUGUGAUGAUUGCCUGCCGUCACCGUCUUCGGGUCUUGCACAAGGAUAUUUGCGCUCACACUAUGACAGCAACCUAUCUUUGAGAGAAAAUAUUUUCACUCUGACGUCCUUCGGCUACUCGACCUCAACUGCUGCUGUGUCUGCUGUUCUAUCAGCAAAGGAACCAGACCGGGGCUGAACACAGCCAGACAGACGGGGGCCAGGUUGACCGCAGUGGUACCAAGAGCCGUGCCGGGAGCCAGCUCGCGAUCAGAGAACACACUGCGGCCAAACUAUCCGAAGUUUGGCGACUUCUAGUGGGAAUCAAAAAAGAGAGGCAGUAAUUAUACACCUCACUACCUCACAUCCCCUCCUCCACCUUCCCUCCAUGGAUCC